AAGCAACUGCUGGGGCGGUGCUGUUUUGUGAUAACUGGAUAUAUAUAUAUACAUAUAUAUAUACACACACAUAUACACAUAGACACAUACACACACAAAAUAUACACAAACACAUACAUAUAUAUAUAAAUAAAUAAAUAAAUAAAAUAUAUAUAUAUAUAUACCGGUAUAUAUUAGUAGGGGAUGUGAUUAUAUUGUAAUAUGGGAGAUCAAUUUUGUUUCCUGCAGAUUGUCUGCAGAAUUCCUCUGUGAAAUGGAAAACCAAUUUUCACAUGAAAAAAAGAAAUAGCAUAUUUUUCACAUACGGAGCUGCACAAUAGCCUGUGAAUGUGGAUUUUUGUGUGUAUUAGUGUUCUUGCCGUUACUAAUGUCAUGUACAGAUUGAGGAAAAAUUCGAUAUCAACAUUCCACUUUGAGCCACAAUGUAAUCCUAAAUACCACAAAUCCUAUAGUUUCAUUCCAAAUUUUAAUAGCACAAUGUUGGACCAAACUGAAGUUCAAGGCAUCGAUAAUUCCAUCUGUGAGGUACAAUGAUUGAUGGCUUUUAUUAGUAAGAAAUUAUUCUUUAGAGUCCAUGGGUAAGAUGAGAUGUACUUGUUUAGUUGUUAUACAAUUUGGUUGAUAUUGUACAUAGUUCUCUUAGCUGGCUAUGUGCAUGUUUUGGUAAUGUCAAGUACCUGAAACAGAAAUAAACUAACAGAUAAUGUUAACUAUUCUGCCUUGCACCAGCAUCGAUUUUUCACCGGUAGACUACACAUUGUCGCCUUCCCUCGGGGACUUGUACUUUUUGGGGCCUUAGUGGUACCAACCGGAAAUAAAAAUACCAUGGGAAUUAACCCAGUUUAGCUAUUAAGCUCUAUACUUUAGACCCCAAAUUGUAAGUUCUCCAAUGGCCGAGUCGGAGAAUGACUUUCGGGUUAAUGGUAUCAACAGGGUCUAUUGUCCAGUCAUUAAUAUUUAUUAGAAUUACAGUUUCAGGUGUAGAGCCAUUAACAAAUUGAAAAAUACGUCAUCGUGUGUUUAAAAUGCUGGAGAAACUUUUACAUUUAGGAAAUCUAUCUAUUUUGGAAAACCAUCAUCAGAACUAAUUAAGAUUACAAUGUUUCAUGUUUAUUUUUUAUCUGAAUCAACUUCCGUCACCAAUAUAUGGUGCAAUAUGACCCAUGUCCAUUUUGCUACAGGGAAACUAAAUGUCAAAUAAUUUGCAUAGUGGACCAGUUUUCAUGCCCCAAAAACAGUAAAAAAAAAGAAAAAACCAAGUCGUUGCCUGAGUGUGUGUGUAUGUGUGCGAGUGUUGAAUGUUCCAACCAUACUUUCCCCCAUUGUUGCACUGUGUUACCUGAAUGGCUAAAGCAAAUGUUGAUGUCAAUAGCAGGUAAAACAUAUCCCUCCACAGGAAGGUUUUUAAUUUCUUGCAGUGUAUAAUUAUAGACUGCAUGAUGUAAAAAACAGUAGAUGUUAUAUAUGCCUUGAAUAUGGUGUCAGCAGUAGAAACAUGAUCGAAAACCAGACUGAUGUGUUGUUAACUUGUGUUCCCCAGUGUUGUAGUCAUCCUCACCCACUCAGAUGUAAUUGUUGGUGGUAUCACACUAAGGCAGGAAUAUCACCAGCCUCAGUACUGUCAUGGUAGAUUAUGUCCUCAUGGCAACAUGAUUGUGACAAACAAGUCUUUCCCUAGUUUGGCCUUGAUAAAGAUGGACCUUUUUUAAUCUUUUUUUUUCUGCUUAUAAAGCUAAUUUAAUGACUGUAAUUAACAAUGAUGCCAAAGACACAGUAAUACCAUUGGUAUUUAAAACUUUCUUAUUCAUUUUAUGUAAUCUAGACUAAGUUUUCUUUAAAAAAAUCAUGCAACUGGAUAAAGCUUUAUUAUUAUUCUAUUGGUUAUGGGGACCUAGUUGUCCAUCCUUUUCCAGGCUCUUGUUGCCAGGAGUAUGUGAUCAUUUCUUUGUUAUUUUCAGAGGUUUAUGUUGUGACAGACAUAGGAGUCAUACGGUUCAUGGAACUCUACAGAGAUGUUGUCAAGUAGUUCUUUUUGUUAUUGCCAUAUUGUUUGCUUUGUGUAUUUUGAAAUUGAUAUUUAUAUUGUGACAAAUAAAUAUGUCAAGGCUGAAGUGUUA
rnacentral:lncRNA from 1 species